rnacentral:tRNA from 3 species
GGGCUCUUAGCUCAGUUGGUUAGAGCGCUUCGUUUACACCGAAGAGGUCAGAGGUUCGAAUCCUCUAGGGCCCA